AUCGGCCAACAAAUGCCACAUUGAAUAAAAGUGAUAAAGAUUUAAUGUUGCAAAUGGUAUAAUCGUCGUAAUUUUUCAUUUUUUUUUAUUCUAGUCACAAUGACUUGAAGAAUUUAACUGUUAUGAAAUCAUGUACAUACUUUCGAUAAAGGUUGCACCACAACGAUAGGAAUAUGGUACAUACAUAAAUAUGACAACAAAAAACAGCAUUAUCACCACUGUAAUUGAAUAAUAAUCUUGGGGAACAGAAUUAUUGUUAUUUACAUAUACUAGAAGUUGAUGCAACAUAUAAUAAUACAGCCAUAGAAUUCAACCAUUCGCCAUGGUGUUACCAUCACCUGUACACGCAUAAAUUGAAAAGGUUUACUAUAUAUAUAUCUGGAAACUACAACGUAAUGCUGUAAGUCAACUCUUUUGACAUUUGGUAUAAUUAAUUCUAACAGUUCGGUGUAUAACCAAAACUUUAUAAUUUGAAUAAAUGUUCGUUACCACUU